CGUGCGCGCGGCGCCCGCCGCCAUGGCGGCCGGUGCUGGCGGAACCGGCCGCGCCCGCCGCUUCCGGCCCGCUCCCCGCGCUUCCGGUCCGCUCCCCGCGCCCCGCCCUCCGCCGGGCGCCGCUUCCGGCCCGCGCCGCCUCGCGAGAGCGCGCCGGCCCCGCCCCCGCCGCUAAUUAGCGCUCGGACCGGCGUUGUUAAUUAACACGGGCGCUGGGAUCCAGCGGGUCCGCUCGCUGGGCACGUCAGGCUCUUGGGGAAGCUGUUUCUUCAUGAUUUCACCCCCAAAACUGCGACCUGAGCGGGGAACGAGGUCACGGCCAAGCCCAGCCAAAGCCCAGCUCACCGCACAAGCUCCAGGAGAUGAGCCGAGCCUAAAGUUAAGCCAGGAAACCCGCUGAGCCGGGCGCCGGCGCUCAAAUAGGGCUCCUGGGUGCACAAGCUCCAGGAGAUGGGCCGAGCCUAAAGUUAAGCCAGGAAACCCGCUGAGCUGGGAGGUGGCGCUCAAAUAGGGCUCCUGGGUGCACAAGCUCCAGGAGAUGAGCCGAGCCUAAAGUUAAGCCAGGAAACCUGCUGAGCUGGGAGGCGGCGCUCAGAUAGGGCUUCUGGGUGCACAAGCUCCAGGAGAUGAGCCGAGCCCAAAGUUAAGCCAGGAAACCCGCUGAGCUGGGAGGCGGCGCUCAAAUAGGGCUCCUGGGUGCACAAGCUCCAGGAGAUGAGCCGAGCCUAAAAUUAAGCCAGGAAACCCGCUGAGCCGGGAGCCAGCACUCAGAUAGGGCUCCUGGGUGCACAAGCUCCAGGAGAUGAGCCGAGCCCAAAGUUAAGCCAGGAAACCCGCUGAGCUGGGAGCUGGCGCUCAAAUAGGGCUCCUGGGUGCACAAGCCCCAGGAGAUGAGCCAAGCCUAAAGUUAAGCCAGGAAACCCGCUGAGCCGGGAGCCCGCGCUCAAAUAGGGCUCCUGGGUGCACCGCUGCUGAGCCUCAUUAGGGCUGAUUAGGGCUAAUUAGUUGCGUUGGCAUCCAGAGGGGCAAUAGGCAAUAAACAAAAGGAGUUAAGCUUGGGAAUAAAAUCCCAGUGCCACUGCAAAAACCCGUUUUAAACAAAAAUGAGCUGUUUAUUUAAAUAUUCCUACGCGGGUUCGCCUUGUUGGGGCCGGGGGGGAGGGAAGUCGGUUUCUGAGACGCUCCUGAAUGGCUUUUUUAAUAUACAUUAUUCUCCGAAUAUAACUAAAUUUGGCCAAAGGGGGUGGAGAAGUUGCCCGGUCCGCGCUCUCGGGUGUCGCAGCGGCGCUGGGAUGUGGCAACCCCAACGAACAGCGCUCGGGCCCUUCGUUAGGGCCCGUGACGGGGCUUUAACGAGCUUCUCGCGAUAAUAAACCCCACGUUUUCACCUGGCGUUGAGGACUUUAUUAUGAUUGUUUUCCCUCGCAGGGAUGUAUCUCGUCAACCCGGCGGCGGGGAGGAUGCUCAGGACCGCGGAAGCUAUUUUGAGACAAACCGGCUCUUUUUGGGGCUGCAAAAUGUGAUUAUCCCAAGGAGAAGCUGUAUUUACCAGGGCUAGAAGAGCCUUUCUGCACAUUCCAGCCCCGGCAAGUCCGCGGGAUGCUCUGGGAAGGGGAAAAUUAAUGUCUUUACAGAAUCACAGAAUCGACUGGGUUGGAAGAGACCUCAGAGAUCAUCGAGUCCAACCCUUGGUCCAACUCUAGUCCGUUUAGUAGAUCAUGGCACUAAGUGCCAUGUCCAAUCUCAGUUUAAAAACCUCUAGGGACGGCGAGUCCAGCACCUCCCUGGGCAGCCAUUCCAAUGCCUGACCACUCUCUCUGUAAAGAAUUUCUUUCUAAUAUCCAGCCUAAAUUUCCCCUGGUAGAGUUUAAGCCCAUGCCCCCUUGUCCUAUUGCUGACUGCCUGGGAGAAGAGACCAAUCCCCACCUGGUUAUAACUUCCCUUCAGGUAGUUAUAGAGAGUGAUGAGGUCUCCUCUAAGCCUCCUCUUCUCUAGACUAAACAACCCCAGCUCCCUCAGCGUCUCCUCAUAGGUCUUAUGUUCUUUAGUCAGCUGGAAUGCUGGCCAAAGGUUUGCAGCCCGUCCCGGCGCUGCAGAACCGACCUGCAGUGAUUUUGGGGGCGGAAAGCGAGAUGUGGCUGACACCGUCCUGGCCCGCGAGGAGAAACCAGCUCGCCCUGGCCUGGGGAAUUGGGAAAACGUUGUCGUUUUGGGGCCGCGCGGCGACAAGAAGCCUCCGGUGCGGAGCUCCAAAUGUGCGUCUCCAGCCUCGCCGGCCGGCUGCGCAUCACACGGAAACUAUUCCGCCCCAGAAGGGAUUGAUCCCAUUUGUUUUGGCUCCUGGAGCCUGGCGAGGCCACAGAGGGGAAACACGGGGGUGGUGAAGCGUCGUUUGCCCCGUCGGAUGAACCACGGGCAGGGGCAGCGAUGGAGGCGCAUGGAGACGCGCAUCCCGCCUCCUUCUCCGCGUCCCCAGCGCCGGCAUUUCCUAUUAUCCCAAAAACCCCGACAGAAGCGCGUCCAAGCCUGGCAAACCCGCCCGCGGCAGAGCAAACCGCAGCCUUCUGUCUCAUAACUUGGUUUGCUUUCCCCAUCCAGCUUUUCCUAAAAAAAUAAAUAAAAUAAAGUAUU